AUGACCUACUGAAUGAAAUAAAAUACUUCCAACCACCUAAAGGCAUUUCUUGUACAGAAGAGGAAGAGAUCGACAUGGAUGUACCAUUUGUCAACAUCUUACUAGUUGGACCAAGUGAAUCGGGCAAAUCUAGUUUCGUGAACACUGUCGAAUCUGUUUUCCGAGGACGGACAGUUAUAAAAUCACAUGACAGAAGAUCUAGAUCGGUUACAUUCUACACCUUCAAUGUUGGAAGAACGCGAAAGCAGCCAAAGUUCCGAAUAUGCAUAUAUCGGAGACCACACAAUGAAAAUGAUGUGACUAUAAUGGAAGCCGACUUACAAAAUAUUAUAAAAGGACACAUCAAAAAUGAUUAUGUGUUUACAGGGAAUACCAUUGCUGCAGAUAAUCAAAAUUAUGAGAGAUAUCCAAAGAUAAACGACAGAGUGCACUGUGUUGUAUUUGUGUUUGAUUCUUGUCAGCCCUUAAUCAUGAAUUCAUUUCUACAACAGACAGCUACAGUUCUUGAAACUUUGAACG